GAUGAACGCUGGCGGCGUGCCUAACACAUGCAAGUCGAGCGAGAUAAAUGUGAGUGGAGACUUCGGUCAAAGCAAUCAUUUUGAAAGCGGCGGACGGGUGAGUAACGCGUGAGCAAUCUGCCCCAUACAAAGGGAUACCCACUGGAAACGGUGAUUAAUACCUUAUAAGACCACGAAGUCGCCACGCUUAGUGGCCAAAGAUUUAUCGGUAUGGGAUGAGCUCGCGUCUGAUUAGCUAGUUGGUGAGGUAAUGGCUCACCAAGGCGACGAUCAGUAGCCGACCUGAGAGGGUGAACGGCCACACUGGAACUGAGACACGGUCCAGACUCCUACGGGAGGCAGCAGUGGGGAAUAUUGCACAAUGGGCGCAAGCCUGAUGCAGCAACGCCGCGUGAAUGAUGAAGGCCUUCGGGUCGUAAAGUUCUGUCCUAAGGGAAGAAUACAGUGACGGUACCUUAGGAGGAAGCCCCGGCUGACUACGUGCCAGCCGCCGCGGUAA
rnacentral:rRNA from 1 species